rnacentral:misc_RNA from 1 species
GUACAAUAGUACAUCCUGAAACUCAAGGCCCUUGCAUUCCAUUAUGGUCAAAACAAGAGCUUGCUUCCCAACAUAAUUGCAAGUUUCUUUCCUAGCUGAAUCAUCCCUUACUAAUAUGACUUGCUCAGCUCCAAACCCAACAAAACUUCCUCCCAUAUUCCCAUUGUUCCCAAAUAUAGAAACAAUUGCAUUUUCAUCAUUCCCAGAUUCAAUCAGAAUAGGGGCUUCCCCAAAUAUUUGACUAGUUUCAUGAUCUAAAACAUCAAUAAAUGGUCGGAAAAACCGGUAAAGGAGGUCAAUAACACUCUGAGCUAACUUGAGAACACCAGCAUGGGUUCGAAAGUUCUGUUUCAAAUGAAAAAUUUUAGAUAACUGACCUUUCUCCUUCAUUCUUUCAUUACCUUCACUUCUGGAUCCUAAAACAAAUUCAUUAUAAAACAGAGAUCUGAUAUCUUCAAACCUAAAAUCAAUCCCUCUGGCAAUAGUUUGUGCUGUGUCACCAGAAAAUACAAAGCCCUCACUCACAUUUUUGCUGAUGUGUUUGAAAAGUGCAACCUGCCUCAUUGUAAGAUCUUGAACUUCAUCAAUAUAAACAAAAUCCAUCAUAUUUCCCAAAUAAUUUUCAUUUUUAAGCCGAUGAUGGAGAUCAUUAACUAGAUCAGCCAAAUCAAAAUCACCAUUUUCUUUCUUCAUUUUUUCAUAAUCUUCAAAUGCAUCAUAUAUUGUUUCUCUCUGCUUCUUACUUAAAGUGGAUAUCCGACCCUCAGACAACAUAAUAUAGUCCCCCCGGCUGAGUCUACCAUCAGAAGACUCCCCUGCUUUCAAGCCUCCUUUUAUUUGAGACAUUAUCUCUGUAAAGACUCUAGAAGAGUCCAGCUUUUUAGUGAACUUUGCAUUAAAAUGCGGCCAGUAAUUUGAACAAAACUUCUCAUAGUUAACCUCCCUUGUUCUUAUAAAAGUUUGCAUUGCAAUAGAGCCUGAACUUCCCAUUUUACCAUGCAAAAGCUGUCUCAAACCAGGAAACUUUUCAAAGUAAGAAUUACCAAUUGUUCCAUCAAGCAUCAUCAAAAAUUUAUUGAAAGUUAUGACAAGAGGGUACAACUCUGGAGGAAUAUCAAUUAAAGAAUCUGGGAUGUCUUUGAAUUGUGCAGCAUCAUCAAUAUUCUCCCUAUCAGCUGGAAUAUGACCCGCAGAAUAUUUUCCACCAGAGGCAAAUCUUUUUAGUUGAGAAACUUGGUGUUUGACAGCAUAACACAGUUUAGGACUAACAGUCACAAAAAGCUGGCGCAAAACAGCAUUCUUAGCCUCACCAUCACUGUUUUCAACAUUUUUUAUAUCAUCAUCAACAUCGAUUCUCUGGAAUGCAUCCUUGGAGGUAUUGUCACUCUCUUCACCAUAACCUUCAACAGCCUUAUGGAAAAGUUGCUCUUUCUUAAAUAAUUUCAUUGUUAAAACAGUUGUUUUUCCAGUGCCAGAUCGACCCAAUAUAAAUGAACUUUUUUGGAAUAGAAUUAUUUCCCGUUCUUCAUCUGUUACUUCAAAAGGGAGCUCUAGUUCAAGACCAUCAGGAUCAGAAAGCAAGUGGCUUACAACUACACGGGAUAAGGGGUAGAAUUUCAUUAGCAACAAGCUGUCACUCACUUUUGAGUUCUCCACAUAACAUUUAUCAUUAGAACUCAGAUUGCUUCCCCCUUCAUUGUUGACAAGACUCUUAAACUGGACAAUAUCAAAAGAAGUUGACCAAGUUUUGGGAACUUCCAAACCUCCUUCUAGAAAUUUCUCAUUGCAACGACUGAUAAAAUCAUCCGUAUAUCUUUGAAAGAUGCCAUUGAGACGUUUGACCAAUCUUGGAAUCUCUUCUACUGGCAAUAUGUCCCAAACCUUCAAAACUUGAGUGUACCUUUGCUCCUUCUGUAUGUCAAUUGAACAUAUUACAUACAAUCCUUCAACCUUGAAUUGUUUCAAGAUAUUUAAAGAGUCACAAAUAAAAUCCACAUUCCUCUUCUUAGGGCGCCAGCCACUGGAAAGUCUAAGAAGAAGGUUCAGAGUAGAUGUCUUUGUCCGAAUGGAUGCCAGCUUUCCAAAUGAUCUUUUAAAGUUUUCACUGAAAAGAACCUUCCACCUAGCACUUUUGAAAAAUACACUAUCUCCAUUGAGCAAAUCAUCAAGUUGAUCAAAC